AAAUGCUCUCCAGUUUCAGAUACGGUGGACAACAAGAUGCAAUAUUCAAGGGCUAUCGGCGAGACUGAGUCGGUUUUCUUUGUGUCCUCGUGUCAACAAUACAGCAAAUACAUCGUAGUGUGCCUCGCUGUGUUGAAUUUAACUGAGAAACAUCCUGAUCUAUAGGUAUGUGUACACAGGUAAUCUGAGGCCCCAUAGGUCAAUAGUUAAUUUUUUCCCUCAAGGGGACAAUGUGUCCCUGCAAGAAGCCACGCAGCGCUGUAAAGAAAUGGUUUUCACUGUUUAGUAUGUUCCUUAGUUUAAGGUUUUGCUUGUCUAACUCCUUUACGACAGCGGUGUGAUGUAACCAAGGAUGUUACUUAAGUGCUUUUAUGCUACUAUUUACUUCCACUACAUCUCCAAAGUACUUGUUACUGUAUACAUCUCAGUGGUACAUAAUGUACUUUUUGCUGUAUUACAUACCAAAAGUAAAUUUUGUUUGUUUUACACUACUAAAUCUCCCAUUCCUCACUUAAAGGGUGACCUGGAGGCUGCUAAUUUGUGACAUUUGGCUGCAUAAUUAAAAUUAACUUGACUUUAAACGCUUAUCGAACAACUAAAAGGAGCCCUUUCUUUCUUCUUGUCCAGUGAGCCGUUUCAAAGUAGGAGUGAGCCCUCCAUUGUGUUUUGUGUUGACACAUUGCAAUAUUUGAGCUACUGAACACCUGCCGAGAGGCAAAGACAAACCAGCUGGUCGGAGACACCGGAUCCGUCCAUCAGGCUUCUGUGGGUUCGUGGUGUCGGGUCAGAAGGGUCCUAACCCUCACAUGAAUAAUUAGCAUUGCGAGCUGGACAAAUGUUGAGGCCAUGAGGAGGAAAUGAGAAUAAAACACGUCAGUGGGUGUUGUUAAAAGAAGGCGGGCCCCGUUCAAAUAUUAACUAGGUGCAGAGGUUUGACCUCCACAUUCCUCAAAGGAAAAAACAAGUUUGAGUUUCAGAAAUACUUUGACAGUGUCUGGUCAAAAAGGUUUCCUGGUAAUCAAAUCUGUAUCAAAAAAAGACACUCUUAAGCAUUUUAUUAACAGUAUUUCCUGUGAGCGUUGUUUUAAAGUUCAGUCCAAACAUGGCAGAGUUUAAAUACAAUAUCAAUGGAAUCAGCAGAUUAAAUACCUAUUAAAUGUUUUUAACUGUUGACUAUAAGCAAUCUUCAGUUUCCUAAAUUAACUAAACAAACUCCAGACAUGGAAAUAACUCCAAAUUAUUACAGUAAUUGCCUCCGUACUAAGAGUUCAGACGCCUGAAUCCUGUGAUCUUUCACACGUGAUGCGGUCACAUGAACUGUGCUUAUUGGCGUCGUUAACGUCGGUCGGCCUGAUCUUCGUUCUACGCCGGUUUCAUCAGCUUGGAGUUAAGCAGCUUCACUCGUUAUAAAAGGGCAACAUGACAGACUUUUCCAGAUUACAAAGGAAACUGAAGGGAAAGUAACAAAGAGGAAAGAUAUCCUUUGAAAAUGGCAGAAAGUCGGCUUUAAAUUAAAAAAAAAAAUCUGACUGAUUAAAUCCCAACUCAUAAACUCAACAAGAAGCACCAGCUGUCCUACUUUAU